CUAGCGACUUCAGAGUUUGAUCCUGGCUCAGGACGAACGCUGGCGGCGUGCUUAACACAUGCAAGUCGAACGGGGAUUAUUGGGAUGAGAGCUUCGGAAGGAUUUCUGAUAAUUCUAGUGGCGGACGGGUGAGUAACGCGUGAACAAUCUGUCCCAGACAGGGGAAUAACACUUGGAAACAGGUGCUAAUACCGCAUAAGACCACAGUAUCGCAUGGUACAGAGGUAAAAGGAGCAAUCCGGUUUGGGGUGAGUUCGCGUCCGAUUAGCCAGUUGGCGGGGUAACGGCCCACCAAAGCGACGAUCGGUAGCCGACCUGAGAGGGUGAUCGGCCACAUUGGAACUGAGAGACGGUCCAA
rnacentral:rRNA from 1 species